rnacentral:miRNA from 1 species
ACUGGGUAGCCCAAAAGUUCAUUCAGAUUUUUCCUCAGGAUGGUAUGAAAAUAAGAAUGACCUUUUUGGCCAACCUAAUA